UCCGAUGUGGUCCAGUGGUUAGGAUUUCUGAUUUUCACCAACUCGAGACGUGAGAAUUCUCAGACGACCCGGGGUAUGCAUUCUCCUCAAACAUAAAAAAUUAGGAACUAACGAAGAGGCGCAGUUCAAACCCCGGCAUCGGAA